GAAAUCUCCAGUUACAUUUCACGCUAUAAGAUAGGGGUACUAAAUCGAUGUAAAACUGAUAAAUAAUCGAUAAUAUUAAUUUAAAAUUUAAAUCACAUUAUGAAAGACAAAUACAGGUGGCUUUAAAUUGGGUGAAGUCCGGUUAUGAGGUUAUUGAGUUAAGGUAAAGCACAUGAAAUCUAUCUGCUUAAGAGAAAGGAUGCCUUCGAGGAGGACUUUCAAAAGGAAAUUGACUCAUGUUAACAUUACACAGAUGGAAAAGCAUGAAACUCCCACAUAGCCAACCCUUUCAUCAGGAUUUGAAGAUUGAUUCAUUUUUUGAAUAAUAAAAAUAUUGAAAUAUUCACUUCACAACCAGUAUAAUAAUGUUGCUCUGGAUGCUGGAAUGAUGAAACCAAGACUACAGGUUCCACUCUGAAAUAAGACUUGAAG